rnacentral:lncRNA from 1 species
CGAUGACUGAGCACUAUGUUGUUGUGCCUGAGAUGCCAUUGCGGUAUAGUUUACAGAGUUUGCUUAAAGCUGAGCCAUCCGCACUGUACCAGUUUGAAUGGCGCCCUGAGCGUAAAGCGUUCCUGCAUGUUGUGUGCAAAGCCAGUGGCAAAAUUGUAAGUAUACUGCCAUUUUAUUUAUUUUAGUCCUUUUUUACUGGUUAUAUAUGUUCCUUCAGUCCGUACCACUUGAGCCAAUUACAUAAUUAGUCAUUGUGACAGAAAUAAUUAAAUAGAUUUUAACGAAAAUAAUUAUACGACAGGGACUUUUUGAGUAGCUUUUAAAAACAUAUAGAUCAAUUGGAUAAUUGAUUCCAUCAGUGAGAGCAAUUAUACUUCAUUAUUUUUGGUGGUAAUGUUAUUAUAUGUAUGUAUAUAUUAAUUUGAAGGCGGCAAGUGUGGAAGUGCCGUUAUAUAUGGUAUUCCAUUUCAUCAAUGCAUAUGAAGAGAAAGAUAAAGAUGGGAGGGUGACAGCGGUUAUAGCUGACUGUUGUGAACACAAUGCCGACACGACAAUUAUCGAGACGCUUAGUCUGAAAAAUCUCCGUUCGUUCCACGGCCAAGAUGUGCUGCCAGAUGCAAGGUACAUAUAUAUAAUUAAUUUAAUUAUAGUUAAUGGCACAAAUUAAAAAUUUCUAAAUCGAUGAACCAAUCAUAGGGUUGGAAGGUUUACAAUACCGUUUGAUGGGAGUCAAUUCGGGAAGUUGGAAACAGUUAUGGAUCCUGAAGAGCACGGGAGAGGAGUGGACAUGUGUAGCAUUAAUCCUGCAUAUUUGGGCAAGAAGUAUAGAUAUGCCUAUGC